rnacentral:rRNA from 1 species
ACACAGGGAGGUAGUGACAAGAAAUAACAAUACGGGGCUUAAUGUCUUGUAAUUGGAAUGAUGGGAAUUUAAACCUCUUCCAGAGUAUCAAUUGGAGGGCAAGUCUGGUGCCAGCAGCCGCGGUAAUUCCAGCUCCAAUAGCGUAUAUUAAAAUUGUUGCAGUUAAAAAGCUCGUAGUUGAAUUUCUGCUGCUUUGUUUUAGCUCUUUGAUGGGCUUUUGCACUGCKRCUUUUUUCGGUCUUCGCUUCUGCKUUGUCCGGAUGUUUACUUUGAGAAAAYUAGASUGCUCAAAGCAGGCYUUUGCCUGAMUAGUKWAGCMUGGAAUAAUAAMGUAGGACUUUGRUUCUACUUGCUGG